rnacentral:rRNA from 1 species
UUACAAUUUAUAUUAUAUAUAUUUUUUUUGUUUAUUUUAUUUAAUAAGAAUAAUUUUAUUUAUUUUUGUCUUAGUAUAGUUUAUAGAAUUGAUUUUUAUAAUUAUAGUUUAUUAGUAAUGUAAAUGUAUUAUGAAAUACUUUUUUUAGUUUAAUAAAGUAGAUUUAAUUUGUUGUACCUUUUGUAUCAGGGUUUAUCAAAAUUUAAUUAAUUAUUUAUUUAUCUCGAUUUAGUUUGAUUUAUAAUAAAUUUAAGCUUAAUGUUUUAAAAUUAUCUUUAAAUUUAUUAUGGAAAUGAAAUGUUAGUCGUUUACUAAGAUAUCUAGUUUCUUAAGAAAAAAUUUAAUUUUUUAUUUAAAUGUUUUUACUUAAUUUAUUAGGUUAAUUUAUUUAAAUAUUUACGUUUUAGGGGAUAAGCUCUGAAACUAAUUUUCUAUAAUUAUUUAUUUAAUAAUUUAAUAGUAGGCUUUGAACCAGCAUUUCUUUGGAUUACGUUUUAGUUCAUAAUUUUAAUUAUUUGAUUUUUUAAAAAUUUUAGAUUUAAUAUUAAGAUAAUUUAUUGAAUUUUAUAUUUUUUGUAAUAAUGAUGGAAUUAGUAUAUUAAAUUGUUUAUAAUAACUUAUUUUUAUAUUUUAUUAUAAGGAAUUAGGCAAAUAGGAUUUCCGCCUGUUUAUCAAAAACAUGUCUUCUUGAUUAUAUUUUGAAGUCUGACCUGCACACUGAGUUUUUUUUUGAAGAGCCGCGGUAUUUUGACCGUGCAAAGGUAGCAUAAUCAUUAGUCUCUUAAUUAGGGACUGGUAUGAAUGGUUUGACGAGAAAUCAUCUGUCUCUUGAUAAUUUAUAUAAUUUAACUUUUUAGUUAAAAGGCUAAAAUUAUUUUUUAGGACGAGAAGACCCUAUAGAGCUUUACAUUUAAUUUAUAUAGAUAUUUUAGUUUAUUUUUUUUGUAUAAUAAUAAUGUUUUGUUGGGGUGACAUGAAGAAUAAAUAAACUCUUCAUAAAUUAAAUCAUUAAUUUAUGUUUAUUUGAUCCAUAAUUUAUGAUCAUAAGAUUAAGUUACCUUAGGGAUAACAGCGUAAUUGUUUUUGAGAGCUCUUAUCGACAAAACAGAUUGCGACCUCGAUGUUGGAUUAAGAAAAAUUUUGGGUGUAGUAGCUCAAAAAUUAGGUCUGUUCGACCUUUAAAUUCUUACAUGAUCUGAGUUCAGACCGGCGUAAGCCAGGUCGGUUUCUAUCCUGAAUUAUAAUUACUUAUAUUAGUACGAAAGGACCAUAUAGGUUAAAUAUUUUAUUUUUAUUGAACAAAAUUAAUAUA